GAUAAGCUUUUUGAACAAAAUUAGCUCUACAUAUGUUAGAUGGGCUUAGAAUGUGGCCCAAUGGGGCGAGGAGCGUGAAACCCAACCUGAUUCCGAAAGGGGCCCAGCUGGUUUAGGUGUCUGUGUCACAGCAACGAGGGUGGUUGAAGAUCAAAAGAAAAAGGGGAAAGGAAAAUCCAAAAUGAGAGAGAACAAGUGUUGGAUUCUCCAUCCAACAGGUAGCAACAAACAAGGGCGUAAGUGUCACUCGUUAAGGCUGCAAUGUGUGACAGACAGGCGAGCGAGUAGGAACUUGGAACAAAAAAAUGAAAAAUGAAAAAUGAAAAAUAAAAAAAAAUAAAAAAACAGUCGCACUGCAUUUUCAGCAAAAUAAAAAGAGGCCAUACCCAAUACCUAUUGCCUGCACAGCGCAAACCCUCACUGACCAUCCCAUAUUCCCAAAUUCCAUUCCUGUGGAGGCCCACUGGAAACUNNNNNNNNNNNNNNNNNNNNNNNNNNNNNNNNNNNNNNNNNNNNNNNNNNNNNNNNNNNNNNNNNNNNNNNNNNNNNNNNNNNNNNNNNNNNNNNNNNNNGUUUGAACGGAUUUUCGCUUGGACUUUCCUAAAUCUUAUUUGGUAGAAAGCCUCUUAAGAAGUUGUAAUUUAAGCAAUCAUGCUAUUAAUAAGAAUUGCCCUAGUCUCAAAAUUUAUUGGGGGUAUUCAUAUUCGUAUUUUUGCCUUUUGCCUCGUUUUGUCCUUUGACUCGUUGUCCGUCACCUGCUCCCCUGCAUACUGCAUGUAUUCAUGUAUUUCCAUAUGAGAUGUGAACCAAUGUCAGUUAGCUCUGUUUUGGUAUAUUGUCAAAACAAAACGGUACGUAUUCCUGCGUCUUUUGGCUAGGGAGGGUGCCGCACCCUAUUAUAACUACUGACCGUUUGUGCCCCUUAUAAACAAGGGUCACUCUCUCACUCAGUUGCCAGGGGGGUUCCCCUGGACCCCCAUUUGUCACAGGCCCCUGAUCUCCACCACUGGCUCAGUGGAGUUCGGGCAUCUAUCUCCUCUCCGAUCUCUACUAAUUAUAAUGCUAACGAGGUACUAGCUUUUCUACAGGGAAGAGAGAGAAAGCAUAUAACUAAGUAAACGAAAGAUGACUCGUUCAAGCCUGUUGAGCUUGAUAGUUCAUAGAGAGGUUAACUAUUAAGAACAUGGUAGGCACCGACUCGUUAGUGAUUGGAUUUUAAGCGAUAAGCUUUUUGAACAAAAUUAGCUCAACAUAUGUUAGAUGGGCUUAGAAUGUGGCCCAAUGGGGCGAGGAGCGUGAAACCCAACCUGAUUCCGAAAGGGGCCCAGCUGGUUUAGGUGUCUGUGUCACAGCAACGAGGGUAGUUGAAGAUCAAAAGAAAAAGGGGAAAGGAAAAUCCAAAAUGAGAGAGAACAAGUGUUGGAUUCUCCAUCCAACAGGUAGCAACAAACAAGGGCGUAAGUGUCACUCGUUAAGGCUGCAAUGUGUGACAGACAGGCGAGCGAGUUGGAACUUGGAACAAAAAAAUGAAAAAUGAAAAAUGAAAAAUAAAAAAAAAUAAAAAAACAGUCGCACUGCAUUUUCAGCAAAAUAAAAAGAGGCCAUACCCAAUACCUAUUGCCUGCACAGCGCAAACCCUCACUGACCAUCCCAUAUUCCCAAAUUCCAUUCCUGUGGAGGCCCACUGGAAACUCCAUUCAUCCUCAAGCCUCUCUCAAUUUCCUAUUUAGACCAUGCCGGUGCUGGAACUCCCUGGAUCCCGCAUUCGUUGAUCGCCGCCCACCGGUGAUCUCUGCCCUUGUAUGGACACUCCCGGUCGGAAAGCGGCGGAGCCCUCCUCAGCUGCCGCUUCCACUCACUCCCUGGCUCGCUCCUCCAAGAGACCUCGUUUCCUCGCCUCUUCUUCAUCGUCGCCCAUCCCCACUCGCUCCCAUCGCAGUUCGCGACUCAUGGAAUCGGCCACUGAGGCGUCCGGUUCUAAGAAGGGCAAGGAGAAGGAAUCCGAGUUGAGGUUGAAGAUCAAAGAAAAGCAGAGAAGCUUAGGGUUAAGUAUCGAUAGCGACGAUGUGCUUGGUCGUGAUGACGACGACGAUGACGACGACGAUGAUGAUGAUGACGAGGACGACGGUGAGGGCAGUUUUGGAAUUUUGCAUCAGAAUUUGACCUCUGCGAGUAGUGCUCUACAAGGUCUUCUCAGGAAACUCGGUGCCGGACUCGACGAAUUGUUGCCGUCGGCUGCCGUGGCCGCGACGCCGGGGAGUGGGCGGCUCAAGAAGAUACUAUCCUCACUGCGGGAGGAGGGCGAAGAAGGGCGUAAAAUCGAGGCGUUGACGCAGCUCUGCGAUUUGCUAUUGAUGGGGACGGAGGAUUCGCUGUGUGCUUUUCCGGUUGACUCCUUCGUGCCGGUGCUUGUGGAAUUGCUUAAUUAUGAGAGCAAUGCGGACAUAAUGUUGCUUGCUGCUAGGGCAAUUACGCAUCUCUGCGACGUGUUGCCAUCAUCUUGCAGUGCGGUCUUGCAUUACGGUGCGGUUCGGUGUUUCUGUGCCAAGCUGCUGGAAAUUGAAUGUAUGGACUUGGCUGAACAGGUGAUUUCUUGUGGGCACAUGUAAAUUCAUUGUUGUAAAACAUUUUAUAUUAUUUGAUUGCUGACAAAAUGGAGGAAAACUACAAAAAAAAAUUAUGUUUCGGGUCUUAAUGUUAAUGUUGAAUCUUAAUGUUUAUGUUGUGGUAUUCAGUUAAGAUAAUCAUUUGAUUCGACAAAGCUGAAUGGUUUGAGACAGGCUUAGUUGAGUGGACGUUUUAGUUUUCCGAGGUCCCAAAGAAUUGAAAAUCCAAAAUUUUGAUUUUUGUUCCCUCUGUAUUCUCAGAAACAAUUGGUGAUCUUUGGGGAAAAGGCGCCGAGUUCCAAUAUCUGAUAUUUAUGUUUCUGUUUAUUGCUAGAAAACUGGGUGUCCAUAUUACGAUACACAUUUUCUUAUUGAAACAAAUUUCUUUAGCUAUAGCUGAUAAAGGGCUCUUUGUUUUCUGGUUGGGUGAAAUAAAUUUCUUUGGCUGUAGCUGAUAAAAGGCUCGCCCUUUGUUUUGUUUGUGACAAUAAGUGCAGUCUUUGCAAGCUCUGAAGAAGAUAUCCCAGGAGCAGCCUACUGCCUGUUUGCGAGCAGGUGCUCUAAUGGCAGUGCUUUCUUUUCUUGACUUCUUCCCAACAGGUGUUCAGGUAAAAUUUUGGCUAUUUACUCGUAUGCUGUGCUCCUUGGUCUUCUGGGGCCAUAUUGGGAUUUUUCUGAAGAAGUUUAUUUCCAUGUUUUCAGAGAGUAGCAUUGUCCACUGCUGCCAAUAUGUGUAAGAAACUCCCUCCAGAUGCAGCCGACUUUGUGAUGGAAGCUGUGCCUCUUUUGACAAACCUUCUUCAAUAUCAAGAUUCCACGGUAAUAAGAGUAUUGAAUUAACUUCCUCUUUUGGAUCCCAAAUUUUCAAAAUAAAACCAGAAUAAACAUGUCUGUGCUGAUAGAUGGGGUUGCGCAUCUUCAGAGGGCCAAGAUUAUUGAGCUAUAUCAUUUAAAAAUUUAUAUAAAUCAGCCGAAUUUAACUGACGCAUCCAGCUGCUUUCCUGGAAAAUGGAAUCCCAGAAUUGGGGAAGCUAUUUUAUUUGAAUUUGAAGAAAAAAGGCAUUUUAUCAGCAUAAUACCUAUAGCAUAUUGUGCUGCAAGUUUGGCACUUUCUGAAUUCAAUUUCAAGGGUCUACUUCCCAAAUACUGAACAGUGCCUUUUGUAAUCCCUUCCAUAGCCUUUUUGUAUUUAUUCUCGUAUAUAGGCUGUGUGUUAUAUUUUCAGGUGUUAGAGCAUUCUUCUGUCUGCUUGACUCGCAUUGUGGAAGCAAUUGCUUCAUCCCCUGACAAGUUAGAUGAACUAUGCAAUCAUGGACUGAUCGAACAAGUUACUGCACUUAUUUCUACAAGUAAUUCUGGAGGUGUUCAGGCAUCCCUGAGCACAUCUACAUACACGGUAGUUGAAGAUGUACACUUUCAGAUUGAUUGCUUAUCUUUGUUUGGGUCAAAUUCUGACUUAUCGGUCAUGCAGGGCUUAAUCCGGCUUCUUUCAAUAUGUGCAAAGGGGUCUCCCUUAGGAGCCAAAACUUUGCUUCACCUUGAAAUCAGUGGCAUUCUUAAAGAUAUACUUCCAGUUUCCAGCUUAAUUGGAAGUGUUUCUGUUCCCCCUUCUUUGACCAGACCCCCUGAUCAGGUAAUAUCCAUCUUCCCUUUCUACUGCUUUCCCAUAGAUUAUAAUAAAUUAUGGAUAAUAUUACAUAAGAAAAGGAAGAGUAUAAUAUAGAUAGAUAGAUGGAUGGAUGGAUGGACAGAGGGUUAGAGGGUUAUUAUGUAACUUAGUUUUUUCAACUCUGGAUACUACCUAGUGAAAUAAUGUUCCUAGUGUGUCUCUGCUGAUCCAUCCAUCCAUCUCUUUUCUCUCUCUCUCUCUCUCUCUCUCUCUCUCUCUCUCUCUCUCUUUGUAUAUAUAUAUAUUGGAUGAAUAGAUUGAGAGAGAGAGAGUUAUUAUGUAACCUAUAUUUUCCAACUCUGGAUACCACCAAGUUGAAUAAUGUACUUGGUGCAUCAUAAAACACAUUAGUAGUGCCUAACCUAAUUUCUUAAGGUGGCUAACUGCCCAAUUGGAAAACAGUUUAGAUGACUAGGCAUGAAUUUGAUAAUCAAAACACUAUGCUGAGAAGGAUAGCUCAUGUACAUGUCAGACACCAAUACUUGCUUGUUGAUGUACUUGUUAUGUAGUUGAAGUGUAGCUUUGCAUAUUAAUGAUUAAGAUGGAUGUGCCUUCUUUAAAUGAUAAAAGAGAGUACAAAAAAUGGCUUCAUAUUCAUUUCUGGUCAUUACAGCUUGUGAAUUAUGAUUCAAAUUGGGCCUUGGAUCAAGAUUUACGGAACGCAUGGGAUUUGUAAAACUAAAACAAUGCCCCUUAAAAACCUUUCAAAGGGACUCUUAAUCCCAAAAUCUCCCUUCUCUUGUUUUGGCAAACAUAAUGGGUCAUUUCAUCGAGAUGCAUGCUUGUUGCUGUUCAGUAAAUGAUGGUGGGAAAAGUUUAGGUUGGAUACCUGAUGAUGAAAAUACUCCAUGCUUGAGGUUCAUUUGUUAUUAUUCAAACUUUCCUGUGUACAUGGGUUGUGCACCCUUCUUUUUUUAUUAAGCAUCCUAUUAUCUUUUGUUUGCCAAUUAAAAAAAUUUGUUACUGCUCAAACCUCUACAGUUGGAGUUAUUUUUCAUAACGCAUCAAAGAAGUUUUACAUAAUGAACCUUGCAAAGUCUCUCUAUCAUUGGAUUUAAAUUGAUUUUCAUUUGAAUGCACAGAUUUUCGAGAUAGUGAACCUUGCAGAUGAGCUUCUCCCCCCACUACCAGAAGGAACUAUCUCCCACCUGAAUUAUUCUAGUUUUCAAAUGAGAAGUUCUGCAGGAGAGAAGUCUCCUUCCAGUGGUUCUGGUAAGGAAGAAAUUACUAAUGGAAGUAUGCCUGAGGCUUCAGCACGUGAGAAAUUAUUAUGUGAUCAACCAAAAUUUCUGCAGCAGUUUGGAGUGGAUCUUCUUCCUGUUUUAGUACAGGUUGGUACUUGUAAUGAACUUGCUUGCUCUAUAAUUUUUACUCACUCCAUUUCAUUAAUAAGGAGGUUUUGGAUUUCUUGAAGCAGGUAUAUGGGUCCACUGUGAAUGUCCAAGUUCGCAACAAGUGUCUCUCUGUCAUUGGAAAGUUAAUGUACUUCUGCACAGCAGAUAUGAUUCUAUCUUUAUUAAAUUCAACAAACAUAUCGAGGUACUUAUUUUUCUUCUUCUUGUGAGAGCAGAAUUUUUGAAACUUCAAUAUCUGAGUUUAUUAUUUGGCUUUCCAGUUUCCUAGCUGGUGUUUUAGCAUCGAAGGAUCCGCAAGUUUUGAUUCCUGGCCUCCAAAUGGCUGAGAUUCUCAUGGAAAAGCUUCCUAAAACUUUCUCCAGGAUGUUUGUGAGAGAAGGAGUGCUUCAUGCUGUAGACACACUUAUAUCUCAUGAUUUGGAAAAUGUAGGUGGUGACCAAAUAUUGUCUGCUGAAAGGGGUAAUGAUUCCAUAUCUGGAACAUCAUUGCGUUCAAGGUGUUAUCGACGGGGAAUGGGCUACUCUAAUCCAGAUGGAAGUUUUCUUGAAGAACCGAAGGGUUAUAUUUCAGUUCACAAUGGUUCAUCUUCAGCAUCAGUAGAAAUUCCAUCUAGAAAUUCUAGGAGACUGGCAGUUAGUACCCGUGCUAAAGCUUUCAAACAUAAAUACUUCCCUUCAUGCCCUGGGGAAGCUGAGGUUGGAGUUACAGAUGACCUUCUACGUUUGAAAAAUCUCUGUGUUGAGUUGAAUUUAUGUGUAAAUGAUCAAAAUACCAAGAGAAAGGGAAAAUCUAAAGCUUCAGGACCCAACUUGACCAAUCCUUCUGCCAGUAAGGAGGAAUACUUGAUUGAAGUGAUAUCUUCCAUACUGGCAGAGCUGGGCAGAGUAGAUGCUGUAUCCACCUUUGAGUUUAUUAGUAGUGGAGUUGUUGCAGCUUUGCUGAACUACUUCUCUUGUGGUGCAUUUUCCAUGGUGAGAACAUCAGAAGCUAACUUGUCUAAACUUCGACGGCUAGCAUUUAGAAGGUUUAAGUCAUUUAUUGCAGUUGCCCUUCCUUCCAGCAUUAAGGAAGGAGAUGAAACUCCCCUGAUUAUUUUAAUUCGGAAUCUUCAAAAUGCUUUAUCCUCCUUGGAGCGAUUUCCAGUUGUACUGAGCCAUUCAUCUAGGUCAUCCAGUGGAAAUGCACGUUUCUCAUCCGGACUUAGUGCACUUUCUCAACCAUUUAAGCUUCAUCUCCGUAGAGCACAAGGAGACAAAUCUCUACGUGAUUACUCUUCAAAUAUUGUAUUGAUUGAUCCAUUGGCAAGUUUAUCAGCUGUUGAAGAAUUUCUUUGGCCCAGAGUUCUGCGAAGUGAAUUGGGUCAGAAAAAAGACCCAUCAUUUGUUGAAAACUUGGAAUCUGAAACCCCAACUACAGAGACUGGUGCUUCAUUGUUUUCAACUUCUAAUCCUGCUUGUACUUAUCGCCAUCCUGCUAGAUCAAGAUCAUCAGUUGCUGUGGGAGGCACAUCUGUAGAGACACCACCGCAAGGGAGAAGUGAAAACUCAAUGCAAGGAAAGGGUAAAGCUCUUCAGGAGUCUGCUCAAGAUGAGGAAAGAGGACCUCUGACAAGAAAUAUUGCAUGCCGAGGAACUGCUUCAGAUAAAGAUUUGACCACAAAACCAGACUUUAAUCCUGAGGUAUGAUGCUGUAGUAAGUAGAGUUCGUAACUUGACUAUUCCUGAAUUUAUCAUUCUUAAUGUCAUUUUGCUAUAAGUUAGUAUAGUUCCUAAUUUGACAAUUUCCUGAACUUUUAUAUGAAGGAAUGAAUGAAUAUCUUCACUGUAGGUUUUUUAAUUCAUGUUUAUAACAUUCAGUCACUGCAUUCUUUAAUGCCCUACAAGGCUACAACCUCUGAUAUCAGAAGUCUGUGUUUCAUAUGUUAUAUAUUUUUUGUUACAUCUUGUAGGAUCGGGAAGUCAAUAUUUCUCCAGUUGAGAUUGAUGAUGGUUUGGUAAUUGAAGAGGAUGAUCUCUCAGACGAUGAAGAUGAUGCCAAUGAAGAUGUAAUUUGCCUAUUCAAUUUUUCUUUAUUUCCUUUGUCUGCCAAUUUUAUUUUGAAGCCUGUAUCAUUGCUUGUACUCAGCAGUUCUAGAUGUUUAAACGGAUAACAGUAGUUUACCAUUGGGAACAGAUGUUUUCCCAAUGCCUUCUUAGUAGUUUUGUAGUCUUGGUUACUUAGUUUAAGGUACUGUGUAAAUACAUCCUUGCCUGGUAUCUGGAAAGUGUUUGUUGGCUAUCGGUUGAGCCCUCAUUUUAUUAAACUGUUUGAUACAAUUUGAAGUGCAACAGUUCUUAACAGUAUUUUCCUUGAGGGAUUCAAUCACAUUGCUCAUAUAUUCUUUUUUUUUUUUUUUUUUCUUUUCAGGUGCUGAGAAAUGAUGUCCCAUUUUGCACAUCAGAGAAAGUGCAUGAUGUGAAAUUGGGAGAUCCUGUGGAGGAUGGUAUGGUUGCCUCUGCUGCAACUGAGGCCCAAUCAAAUCCUAGGUCUGGUUCAAAUAAUGCAGUAAAUUCUGUGCAUGCUUUUGGCUCAAAAGGUACAAUGUCAAUUGCUGCAUCUGUUGCCAUUGGCGGGUUAGUACCUCCAAACCGUGGAGGCAUUAGGAGUGGCAGAGAUAGGCAAGGAAUUACCCUGACUGGUGGCAAAAUUGAUACUCCUAAAUUAAUAUUUUCCUCUGGUGGAAAGCUGCUUAACAGGAACAUGACCAUAUACCAGGCUGUUCGACGCCAGGUUGCACCAGAUGAAGAUGAUGAUGAGAGGUAUGGCAACGAAGUUUUAGCCAGUGAUGGAAGCAGGCUAUGGCGAAAUAUUUAUACCAUCACAUAUCAGAGGGCAGACAACCAAGUAAAUAGAAUAUCAACAGGAAGUUUGAACCCAACCCCAUCAAAGAUUUCCGAAUCUAGUUGUGCUUCCAAUUCCAAUCCUGGCUUCCACUUGAAUAACAUAUCACUUCUAGAUAACAUUUUUCAAUGGGAGCUUCCUUGUGAUUUAGAAAAAAGCAAUCCCACUUAUAAUAUAUUAGCAUUAUUGCGUGUAUUAGAAUGUUUAAGUCAGAACAUACCUCGAUUGAGGGCCCAAGCCUUCUGCAAUGACUUCUCAGAGGGAAAGAUUCUGUGUCUUGAUGAUAUGAGUAUUGCCCACAUUGAAGUUCCACCUGAGAAAUUCAUCAAUAGCAAGAUCACACCCAAAUUGUCUCGACAAAUCCAGGAUGCCCUGGCAGUAUGUGGUGGUACUCUUCCCUCAUGGUGUUAUCAGUUGACCAAAGCAUGUCCAUUCUUGUUUCCUUUUGAGACCAGGAGGCAAUAUUUCUAUUCAACUGCUUUUGGGUUGUCUCGUGCGUUGAAUUGGCUUCAACAGCAACAAGGAGCUGAUGGUCAAGGCUCUGCCAGUGAAAGAGAGGUUCGUCUAGGCAGAUUACAGCGUCAGAAGGUUCGUGUUUCAAGAAAUCGGAUUUUGGAUUCUGCCAGAAAAGUGAUGGAGAUGUAUUCUAGCCAAAAGGCUGUUCUAGAAGUAGAGUAUUUUGGUGAGGUUGGCACUGGAUUGGGUCCAACCUUGGAGUUCUAUACUCUGUUAAGUCAUGAUCUACAAAAAGCUGAACUGGGGAUGUGGAGAUCUAGUUCUACAUCAGAGACACUGAUGGAUAUUGAUGAUCAACCAAAUGGGAAAUCUGACCAUUUCUCUGAUGGGGAGGAACAACCUGGCUCUGUAAAAGGAAGUGGAGUUCUUGUGCAAGCUCCUCUUGGAUUGUUCCCUCGUCCUUGGUCUCCUACUGCAGAUGCUUCUGAUGGUAGCCCGUUUGCUAAAGUGAUUGAAUAUUAUCACUUGCUUGGACAAGUGAUGGCUAAAGCGCUUCAAGAUGGACGACUCUUGGAUCUGCCGCUGUCUAUGGCUUUUUAUAAGCUUGUGCUUGGUCAAGUAAUACAAAUUUGAGUUCUAUAUUGUCAAAUUUUACCUGCCUCUGUUUAACAUAUUUCCCUGUCAUGGGAGGUUCAUUUGGUCAAAAUUUCAAAUUUAUGAUCCCUUGCAGGAUCUGGAUUUGCAUGACAUCCUAUCAUUUGAUGCUGAACUUGGGAAGAUUUUGCAAGAACUGCAAGUCCUUGUUUGUCGGAAACAGUAUCUGGAUGGUGUGAGUGGUAAUGGUUGCGAUGCAACUGGUGGCUUAUGUUUCCGUGGUGCCCCUGUUGAAGAUCUCUGUCUAGAUUUCACCCUUCCUGGCUAUCCGGAUUACAUUCUGAAAUCAGGCUAUGAAAAUGUCCUUGUAAUACUUUUGGCUAUUUGAUUGUUCAUCAUUCAACAUUUUGUUUUAAAUUUGGUUCAUGUUUUUGCUAUGUUUCUAAGAUCAUUAUCCUUUUUGUCUAAUUGGUUAGGUGGAUUCCGAUAACUUGGAUGAGUACGUAUCAUUGGUAGUUGAUGCAACUGUCAAGUCAGGGCUAAUGCAUCAAAUGGAAGCAUUUAGAGCAGGGUUUAAUCAGGUUUCCAACUCUUUCUCUUUCUCUUGCUCUUGCUCUUGCUUUAUACACACACACGUCUUCAAAUUCUUCCAUGCAUAUUUUGGGGUGUUGAUUUUGCUUCUGAUGUUAGUGUGUAUUCUACAUUGAGCUUGUACUGGUAAAUCAGUGCUAUUGUCAUUCUGUUCUAGUUGUAAAAGGACUAACGUCUUGGACCAACUGCUAAACUAAUUAUUUUUGCCAUCUAAGGAUGGUUUUGUAUUUUCUUUUUAUGUGAAUAUGACCAUGUGUUUUUGCACUAUAAAAUAGGUUGGAAAGUCACUUUUAUAUGCAGAAAAUGCAUGACCCAUGGUUUUGGAAAAAUGAGUUUGUAGCUUUAUCCUAGAAAGAAAAUUGUCAGCUGCAUUCUAUAAAACAAAAUUGUCUUGAAUUUUCUUGGAGCUACCUCAACUUAGAAGUCAAAUGGCUAAUAUCUUUGGAUACAAGGACAUGAUGUUCUUCUUUCAUUUUGAUUUUGGAUGGAUAUAAUUACUAAUCAUUCCAUGGUGUUGUUACGGCACACUGAGAUGGUUUAUUUUCAUUAUUUCUCGUCACUUGUUUGAAAUAUCGUCAUUCUAUAAGGAAAGUUGUUGAUUGCUCUGAACUCUUGACACUGCAAUUUAGGAGGUAUUCUGUGGCUGUUGGAAAUGAAAAUUUUUCUCAUAUGCCAGCCUCAUUCCUACCAUGCUAUUAAGAUCCAAUCCUUAUUUUUAAAUGCUUAUGGUGCUUUACCUUGUUCCUCUUCUCUAGUUAUUUUUUAUUUUUUGUUUUUUGUCCAGUUUCUGUGUGUUAAUUUACCUGUACUUUCUGACUUCUAGGUUUUUGACAUUUCAUCUCUGCAAAUAUUCUCUCCACAUGAAUUAGAUUACUUGCUCUGUGGCCGUAGAGAAUUGUGGAAGGUAAUUUCAUUUUCUAUAUUUUAUUUCUGUAGAAACAAAUCAUGGUUUUCUAUAUUUUAUUGUUGUAGAACAAAUCAUUGUGAAAACAUAUAUCAUGUUUUUUAAAUUAUGUAACUUCCCCAUUGUUGAAGAUGGAGACACUUGUUGAUCACAUAAAGUUUGAUCAUGGAUACACUGCCAAGAGCCCUGCGAUUAUCAAUGUAAGAUUCUUCCUAUAUUUGGGGCAUUUGGAUUUAGUGGGAAACAGGGUGUAAUGAUAACUCUUAUAUAUUGACUGCAUGAUUUGUUUAUUGUAAUGCCUUUGCUUUCUAGUUACUUGAAAUCAUGGGAGAAUUCACUCCUGAGCAGCAGCAUGCAUUCUGCCAAUUCAUUACUGGUGCACCUAGGCUUCCUCCUGGAGGUCUGGCAAUGUUGAAUCCAAAGUUGACCAUUGUGAGAAAGGUAUAACUCGGUAUUUAUGCCAAUCAGUUAUAAAACACUGGUGUGCAUGUGUAGCAUGGUUUCGAAGUUGUAAUGGUGUUCUCUCCUGCUUUUGGUAAACAGCAUUCCUCAACGAUGAACCCGGCAACCAACAUGAUUGGACCUUCUGAAUCAGCCGACGAGGAUUUGCCCAGUGUUAUGACUUGUGCCAAUUACCUCAAGCUUCCUCCCUAUUCCACCAAGGUAAAAAAAUUAAUAUAUGGUAGAUAUGUUGAAAAUAAAAAUCAGAUACCUAACUGCAUGCUCACACAUGCUCUAUUUAAAUUUACCUUUCCCCUUUCCUUUCAGGAUAUUAUGUAUAAGAAACUACUUUAUGCCAUCAAUGAAGGACAGGGAUCUUUUGAUCUGUCGUAGUCUCCAUCAUCACUAAUCAGGCUGAAUGAUAAGAUUCUGUCAAAAUGCUUUUGGCCUCCACAGUUAUAUCUUGCUAGUUUCAAUGUUGGAAGCUUGUUUGAUUUUGUCAGAAAAUUACUUUCAUGGAGUAGAAUCUCAGAAAUCUUGGGAAGAUGGAUGGGGCCAAGUUCCGUUUAAAUCAUAAUGUGGCGAUGGACUGGACUGGUUGGUGGAGGCACUGCAUUCUCUCUCCUUCCCUCUCCAUUCCGUCUCUGUAAAUUUCAAUAUAUCUUGCACCUUUUUUAAGAAAUGAUUUCUUCAUUUGUCAAUGAUACCAACCCCCAUGCUGAAUAUUAGCAGCAGCAGUUGUCGGCUUUCUUUUUAAAUUUUUUGUUUCAGUGGGGAGAAUAAUUUAUGGACACAAGACAAAAAUAGGAAGAAAAUCUAUGAAAUAUUGACGUCUUUAAUUUCCCUACCGCCAACCUCCAAAUUUCAAAAUCUAUAUUAUGAAUGCCAUGGAAGUCCGUGGAUGAUGCAUUUUAUGUGGAGUCAAUCCUUGAAUCUUGAUGGAUAAAGCAACCCUAGUGAAUUUCGAUACUUGUGAAGAAUACAUUCUCUUAAGCCAAGCCAUUAUUUUACAACUUUCAUUUCUAUAAUGCCCCUCAAAUUCUCAAUGGAUUGUCCCUUAUACAACACACUGUAAUUCUUCUAAUGGGCACACAGCACCUGGACAGCCAAGGCUUUUGUAAUACCAGAACCUGAAAUUGAAAUUCCAUCCUUGCUAACUAUCUCCUGCUCAACUGGAAUGGAGCAGCUACUUUUUCCCAGGCAAUGCUUCUCCACCACUUUCUAACUAUUGGGUGCAGCACAAUUUCCAGGAAUGAACUCUCAACAGGUGCCUGUUGGAUCACCAAAGCUUAGCCUUUGGCUUCACACCGUCUACAAACAUUUGUAUGUCACUUGCCUCCCUCUUCCAUGACCUCACAUGUGUUGGAUGGUGUUCACUUAUGUAGCAACAGAUCGUAUCUCUGUUCAAAGUUAGGAUCUCUAUUCCAUCUGGGUUUCUUCCUGUUUCCUCGAAGAGAACCAAAAGAUUAUCUGAUGUCUUCAAGAAGGCUCUCGGUACAUGGUAGCUGAAAACAGAGAAACACACAUGGUAAUGAAUUCUAAGCCUCAUCUUCUACAUGUAUAUAAACUAGACUAGCAGAAAUACGGGGGGCAGUGCUUACACUGACUGGGAAGGCUUUCCAAGAGGGGAGAGGUAAGAAACCCAGUAUCAGUCAAUGCUUUUACCAUUUAUCCAAGCCAUGCCUUUGGCCAUGGUGCUCAGUUCAAGAGCAACGGGGACAUCUCCUUCUGGGGCAUCAAAGUAAGCCUGCAAUUCCAAAAGUUAUGCAGGUUGUGUGAAGAGAUGGAGCUUGUCUCCAUUCAAGCCUACCUGAAACAUUGGGGAAAAAAAAUCAUAAAUCUUAAUCCAUUAUUCAUCAGCUGACCAGAAGUAGUUCAGUGGAAAAGGAUAAUAUGCUAACCUUGUGUCCCCAUCCAUUCUUUGGCAGAUCGAUGGUUCUAGUGUUGAGACCUUGGAUGGCUACGUUAUGUACCCCAGCAAGCCUAUGCUCCAUGUAUGAACCACUAUCCUUCACAGAUGAAAAGAGAGAUUCACAAUCACUCCUUUCUUUCUAACACUAGGAAAAGGAAAUUGAUGUGAUUAGAUCUUUACUGGUAAUCCAACCGUGGCACCCAACGGUGCUAUCUGGUUAAGUCCUGCCUUUAAGGUUAUGGGUUUAUUGAACACAAAGCUUUUUUCUACAUUGCUUCCAUGUCUCGUUCCUGUUAGAUAGAAUUCCAUCUUCAUAGUGUAACACUUUCCUGAAUUUUUUUCCAAGGGAGAGAGAGAGAGAGAGAGAGAGAUGAUCAACAAAAUUUUAACUUAAUCACAAUCUACAAGUUAGAGGUUCCCCACAAGCUUUACCCUACUGCAGCCUUCCCCCCUCCAACAAAAUAGCUAGGGGUUAAAAGGGUUUGGCAUAUAAAUUUGUUUAUCCCACAUCACCAGAUGACACGGAAGGUUUGCAGGAGAUGAAAAGAGAAGCAUUACCACAUAUUCUCCAUUUAAAAAUGCAUGCAUCACAUGACCUAGAUUGGAAACCUGAGGGACACGAAGAACAUCUUUCCUGAAAGGCAAGCCGGUGCGUGCCAGCUCAAUGCUGCAAAUAGAAUUACACCGAAUAUUAGUUGAAGCAAUGGAAAUCAAAUAUUGGAAUGGUUAUAAUAAAAUCGAGUAUUUCCCAUUGUUAAAAACUUCUUCAGAUGAUGGGUUAGGAUUUGCUUACUUGGUGGUGUACCACAAGUAGUCUGUAGUAUCCUUGGUCAUGGUCAUCAGUUCCACGGGACUCUUUGUUUUAGUGGGACAUUCUUCAUAAGUUGGCAAUGCAUCUUGGGACAUCUACCAUUGGAGGUUCUUGUUAACACUAUAUUGGGAAACAACCUGUUUUCAUGUUGGGUUCAUUCAAACUAUCGAACACUCAUACAAGAAAUGGGAAUCAUCCAAUUUUUUUCAGUUAUUCUCUUUGUAGUCCUUCAAAUUUUAACCACAUACUUGAAAAGGGAAAGAUCAAGUAAUUGGACGCUACUGUCUGUGUGUUGAAGACGACAGUUUUGCAAUCUGGGAGGUUGCUUAUGGAGUGCUGGGGCAAGUAGUAUUUGGAACCCCUUAAUGUUGUAGUUGUAGGUGUUCUAGUAAUGUUAUUCAACAAGAAAGUAGCACAAAUAUUACUACCUGGCUUUUCGUAGAUUCGGGCCUGCAGGCAUGAUGCACUUCACCUAUCACAAACAUCAUUAGUCUUGUUGCUCUACUAAUGUUCUAAGCAUGAGACUACAUAUACUGAUAAAGCAGCUCUAUAGAAACUUUUUCUUACCUCUAGGUCCUCUCCCAACUUUUGGGCAGAGGUAACUCCCCAAAGAAGAGCUUUCUUAGACAACCUCAAAGCAGCAUGCAAGUCUCGGAGGUGGCCCCAUUUGGUUUCCCUUGGCAAACCUGGAUACAUUUAUGAAAGCAGCUCCUGUGGUGAGUGGGAAAAGCUGAUUUUGUUAAUGUACUUCUUGGUUGGCAUUUUGGAAGAAGGAUUAGCUUUUGAGAGAACAGAUCAUAGCAAUUUUAGCUUCCAAAUGCAAGUACAUGUCAAAAUGCCAACCAGAUGAUGCCAAACUCAUGAAGUUUCAAACAGGCCUAACCAUAUUCAUCAAGAGGAGCUUCAUCAUAGUAGCAAGUCGUAGCAAAGGAGGACGUAGUUCUACCAAAAUUUGUCACACUAUAAUACUGAAACAAAAACAUGAGUGUUUAGGCUGAAAGUAGAAAUACUUUAUAAUAAUUUGUUCAGAAGCUCUCUAAAACAGGGCUGCAACUCUAUACCAUAUAGUAAUUUGCAAGAGUACCAUUCUUAGAGAUGAACAGAGAAUGCAAGAUCUUCUGCUGCCCUUUGAGAUGGGGGGUCUCCAAAUACUCUGUACCUAUAAUCACCAAGGAAUCCAAACAAAAUGCAGUUAGCAUCUUAACCAGACAAUAGGAAGAAAAUACCACUGAAUAUAAUCAUGUGUGAUAAAUGAAGGAAAAACACAUCCCUAGUCAGUGGUUACUUACUGAGCGCUUGUUUGGUCUAUUGGGGCCUGUAAAUGUAUCUCCACAGUUCCUCCCCUUGCAUGUGUUGAUCUGAAACCAUUUUUCUUUUUUCAGAAAUCUUUCCUUCUGGGGAUACUUAAAUUAUUUGAGCUCAGAAAGAUUGAUGCAAGCGGGGCAUAAUGUGCUAACGACUGGAUCAGGAGCAUCCUUUUGCUUGCACAUCACUCAUGGGAUUCCGGUUUUGAGCCCAACAGCCAUAGUCCCGGCCCAGUGAACACAUCGUGUCCCCAUUUCUUUGAAUGCAAUUUGAAUGUGUUGGAUAUUUUGGUAAUUAUGGGUUACAUAUUAACACAUUGUACAUUAAACUAUUUUAUUUUUUAGCUUAAUUAAAUAUAAUCAAUUAAGUUAAUGAUAGACCUUCAAAGUAUCUCUAUAUAUGGAUGGUAUGGGUUUUACAAUGUGUAGAGACCAAUUUUAUUUUAUUUUAUUUAUUAAUGAUGGACCAAUAAAUAAAAUAAAAUAAUAAAGGAUAUAAAUAGGGUUAUAAUCCUGGUCUAAAUGAGAAGAGAUAGAAAAAUUGUUAAUUAUUCACAUCCCAUUAGUGAGUAAUUUCAAGGUUAUAAUACUCGUUUCAAACAUGGAAGACAAAAUCCAAGUACAUAAUUUCAAUGGAUUUAGGUAUGUCUUCCAAUGUUAUUAUCUUAUAGAUUUAACAUGAGAUUCUGACAUAUAUACUAUUAAGUUAAUUAGAUUCUAUAAUCAUUCUGUAUGAUUUGCAAUUUUCCAACAAGUGGUAUUAGAGUCACUCUUGUUAAAUUUAUUAGGUUUUAAUUAAAGUUGUUUCAUGAUGGAUUGAGUUUUUUUUUUUUUUUUUAAUCUGACUUCCAUUCAUUCAUUCACCUUUUUUGUGUGUUCGGUUGUAAGGAAAAUUUUCUUUAAUCCAAAUUCCCCGAAUUUUCUAUUGUAAAUAAUUUUUAUAAAUAAUUUUUUUAAUAAAUAUCAAUAUUGUUUAUUAAAAUAUAUUUUCUCUGGAAUUGUUUGCAUAUUUUUAAAGAUAAAAUAUAAGUGUUUUUGAAAAUUUUGGGGAUAAAGAUGAAGUGGUUGGGUGAUAAUGACCUAUUUUUCGUCAUUAUCUUGUUACAUUUUGUUAAGUUUUUAAUUAAUAAUGUCAUUUGAACAUUGAGUCUAAGUCUUUUAAUAGGGUAUUUUGGACAUUGGGACUGAGUCUUUUAAUAAGGUGAUUUUGACAUUCAACCUAAAUUAUUAUAUUGGGUCAUUUGGAUUAUUGGACCCAAGUCUAUUUAAGUUGGAUCAAAUUUUGGGUAGGGUUAGACCUUUGAUUGAUCCGUUUGAUCGAUCCAGUGGACCUUUGAUUGACCCAUUUGACUGUUGACCAAAAAAAAACUUGGAAUGUUUAAAAUCCAAUAUUUCAAUAUAAAUUAAAUUGAAAUUAUAUGUCACAAAAAUGACCUCUAUUAUGUAAAUUUAUUUAUCUUGAAGGGUGUGGAUUUUAUUAUGGAAUUCUAUGAGUAGUAUCUAAAUCUAUGCAUAAAAUAAUCGGCCCAAAGGAAGGUUAUUUUUUAUCAAAUUUUAGACACUUGUGAUAGUAAAUAUGUGAUAUUUUAGUGAUGUCCAUGCAUGCAAUAAGUCGAUCCAAAGAUAGGCAUAUUGUUGGCAAGAUUUGUUAUCAGUAUUUAUUAACUAUUUUUUAUAAUAGUACCAUUUACAAAUUGUUAUUUUAUCCAAAGACUAAAUAUCAAUGUUGUGUUAGGUAUAUUGUAAGAGCCCAUUUUAUUGCUUUUAUGUCAUAUAUAUAUACAUGUAGUUAAUUCUUACAUGCUUAAAGUAAAUGACAUUGUUGUAUAUUGUGAGCUUAUUAUUUUAUUCUGUAUACAAUUAAUGCUUCUGUUAUAUUUGCCAACAUAAACAACAUUCCAAUGCUUGAUGACACUAACUUCGGAAAAUGGAAAGAACAUAUUACUAUUUUACUUGUGUGUAUGGAUUUAGACUAUGCGAUCCUGAUUGAACGACAAUCUGUCCUUACUAAUGACAGUACUACGAAACAAAGGGCUAACUUUGAAAAGUGGGAGCAUUCUAACUACAUGAGUCUUAUGAUCAUGAAGCACUCUAUGGAAAUGUCUAAUCUUGUUGCUUGAUUGAAGGCACUAAAGUUGGAAUUGUCUGAUGACAUCCUUGUGCACUUGGUCUUGAUCUCUCUCCCUGCACAAUUUAGUCCUUAUAAGAUAAGUUAUAAUACUCAAAAGGAAAAAUGGACUCUUAAUGAGUUCAUUGCUUAAUGUGUGCAAGAGGAAGAGAGAUUGAAACAAGAAAAUAUAGAAAGUGUUCACUUAGCUACUACCUCUUAUGACAAAACUGCUAACAAAAAAAGGAAAAGAAGCAAUAGCAAUAAAGGAAAAAAAGUUGUAGACAAUGGGACCUCACAGCCUAAGGUGCAACGGAAACAAGAUAAGAUCAUCAUUUGUUUCUUUUGCAAGAAAGAUGGACAUGUGAAGAAGGAUUGUCCUAAGUAUGGAAAAUGACUUGUCAAAAAAUAUAAACUUCUCAAUUUUGUUUGUUUUAAAGUUAACUUGGCUUUAAUACCAAAUCACACUUAGUGGAUAGAUACAGGUGCAUACUCACACAUAAGUGUGACAAUGUAGGGUUGUCUAAGUAGUCGAGUGCCAAUUGAUGCUGAAAGAUUUAACCAUAUGGGAAAUGGUAACAAAGCUCUUAUUGAGAUGAUUGGUUUAUUUAGAUUGCAAUUAGAAUUUAGUUGUUAUUUGGAUUUAGAUGACGCUUUUUAUGUAUUGUCAUUUAGAUGGAAUUUGGUUACUCUUGUUCAUUUGGAAAUGGAAAAAUGAGUUUUUUUCAAUAUUCAAAUAUGGUUGGUACAAGUUCUUUAGUUGAUAAUCUAUACAAAUUAGAUAUUAACGUCUUACAUAUUAAUGAAUCCUUGCAUGCAAGUGAUUGUGGUACAAAACGUAAGUUAACUUAUGAGAAUUCUUCCAUGUUGUGGCACAAACGUUUAGGACAUAUUUCUAAACAAAGGAUUCAAAGACUUGUGCCAGAAGGAAUUCUUGAUUCCCUUAACUUUUCAAAUUUGAAAAGUUGCAUUGAAUGCAUUAAGGGAAAGCAAACAAACAUUAGAAAAAUUGGUGCCAAUAGAAGUUUAGGUGUCUUGAAAUUAGUUCAUACUGAUAUUUGUGGUCCAUUCCUUACGGCUUCUUAGAAUGAUCAAUAGUAUUUUAUUACUUUCAUAGAGGAUUAUUUUUGUUAUGGGUACCUAUAUUUGUUCAUGAGAAGUCUCAAUCGUUGGACGUUUUCAAAUCCUAUAAAGCUGAAGUUGAAAAUAAACUUGGAAAGAAAAUUAAAGUCGUUAAAUCUGAUCGUGGUGGUGAGUACUACGGUAGAUAUGAUGGAUCAGGUGAACAACAUCCAAGACCUUUUGCAAGAUACUCACAAGAAUGUGGCAUUGUUUCUCAGUACAUCAUACCAGGGACUCCAAGUCAAAAUGGUGUAGCUGAUAAACGAAAUUAGACCUUAAAGGAUAUGGUAAGAAGUAUGAUAAAUCAUUCUUCCUUACCAGAAUUACUUUGGGGAAAAGCUAUAAAAACUGCAAUUUAUAUCCUUAAUCGAGUUCCAAGCAAAAUAAUAGCUAAAACCCCAUAUGAGCUAUGGACUAAAAAGAAGCCUAGUAUUAGGCAUCUUCAUGUUUGGGGUUGUCCAAUUGAGGCAAGAACAUAGAGGCCUAAUGAAAGAAAACUGGACUCAAGAACAGAAAGUUACUACUUUGUUGGGUACUUAGAAAGGUCAAGGUGUUUUAAGUUUUAUGAUUCCUCGAGCAAAUUAUUUUUUGAGACGGGUAAUGCUACAAUCAUUAAGGAUGUUGAAUAUGGUGGGAGUACUGGACACAAAAGUUUUGUCUUUGAAGAGGAAUAUGUUAUUAUUUCUACAGUUGCAACUGAAAAUGUUCAGGUAACUAUGCUUGGCCUUAUUCAGGAUGUAAAUCCAGAAAGUCCAGACACUCUUGAGUUACCUCCUACUCAUAAUGAAGAACCCACUCCUAUUCAUGAGGAGGAACAACAACAACCUCAAUUGGAAGUACCAUUAAGGUGAUGCACUAGGGAGAGGAGAACGACGAUUCUAGAUGAUUAUAUCAUGUAUCUCCAAAAACAUGAGUUUAAUAUGAGACUAGAAGAUGAUCAAAUAUCUUUCAAUCAAGCCAAACAAAGUGUAAACUCCCAGAAAUGGAUAGAAGCCAUGAAAGAUGAGAUGAAAUCAAUGAAAAACAAUGAUGUUUGAGAUCUUGUCAAAUUGUCUGAAUGAGCAAAACUAAUUGGUUGUAAAUGAAUUUAUAAAACCAAGCAGGAUUCAAAAGGCAAUGUCGAAAUAUAUAAGGCACGUCUAGUCAUCAAAGGUUUCACUCAAAAUGAAGACAUUGAUUAUAAAGAGACUUUUUCUCCAGUUUCAAUGAAAAACACUUUUAGAAUCAUUAUGGCAUUUGUACCUCAUUAUGAUUUGGAGUUACAUUAGAUGGAUGUGAAGACUGUGUUUAUCAAUGGUGACAUUGAAGAAACCAUAUACAUAGUGCAACCAAAGAAUUUUGAAUCCAAAGAGUAAAAACAUUUGCUAUGCAAAUUA
rnacentral:lncRNA from 1 species